CCAUAUACCAAUUAAAGCCAAGUCUAGUCAAAACGCUAGUGAUUUAUUAUAUGCCUCACUGAAUGUUCAAGCCACCUGUGAUUACAGAUAUUGGUUUAUCGAUGUGGUGUGUGGAGUGUACAGGAUGCCCGGAUGUUUAGAAAUUCAAGCUUAAAUACAAAGUUCAGAGAUGGUACAAUCCCCCCUUGUUACAAGUCAAUUGUUGAUGGGGAGGAUGCAGUACCAGUAUGCAUACUGCCCAGCAUAUACUGUGAUGCAUGUUUUGCGACGCUUUGUGACGGUGUGUGACGGUUUGUGAUGCUUUGUGACGGUCUGUGAGUACAAUCCCCCCUUGUUACAAGUCAAUUGUUGAUGGGGAGGAUGCAGUACCAGUAUGCAUACUGCCCAGCAUAUACUGUGAUGC